GAUGAACGCUGGCGGCGUGCUUAACACAUGCAAGUCGAACGGGAAUUAUUUUAUUGAAACUUCGGUCGAUUUAAUUUAAUUCUAGUGGCGGACGGGUGAGUAACGCGUGGGUAACCUGCCUUAUACAGGGGGAUAACAGUCAGAAAUGGCUGCUAAUACCGCAUAAGCGCACAGAGCUGCAUGGUUCAGUGUGAAAAACUCCGGUGGUAUAAGAUGGACCCGCGUUGGAUUAGCUGGUUGGUGGGGUAACGGCCCACCAAGGCGACGAUCCAUAGCCGGCCUGGGAGGGGGACCGGCCACAUUGGGACUGAGACACGGCCCAGACUCCUACGGGAGGCAGCAGUGGGGAAUAUUGGACAAUGGGGGAAACCCUGAUGCAGCGACGCCGCGUGAAGGAAGAAGUAUCUCGGUAUGUAAACUUCUAUCAGCAGGGAAGAUAGUGACGGUACCUGGAGAAGAAGCCCCGGCUAACUACGUG
rnacentral:rRNA from 1 species